GACGAACGCUGGCGGCGUGCUUAACACAUGCAAGUCGAACGGAAAGGCCCUGCUUUUGUGGGGUGCUCGAGUGGCGAACGGGUGAGUAACACGUGAGUAAACUGCCCUUGACUUUGGGAUAACUUCAGGAAACUGGGGCGAAUACCGGAUAGGAGCUCAUGCUGCAUGGCGGGGGUUGGGACGUUUGGGCGGUUGGGGAUGGACUCGCGGCUUAUCAGCUUGUUGGUGGGGUAGUGGCUUACCAAGGCUUUGACGGGUAGCCGGCCUGAGCGGGUGACCGGCCACAUUGGGACUGAGAUACGGCCCAGACUCCUACGGGAGGCAGCAGUGGGGAAUAUUGCACAAUGGGCGGAAGCCUGAUGCAGCAACGCCGCGUGCGGGAUGACGGCCUUCGGGUUGUAAACCGCUUUCGCCUGUGACGAAGCGUGAGUGACGGUAAUGGGUAAAGAAGCACCGGCUAACUACGUGCCAGCAGCCGCCGUAA
rnacentral:rRNA from 1 species